rnacentral:rRNA from 1 species
GACGAACGCUGGCGGCGUGCUUAACACAUGCAAGUCGAACGGGCCUUGUCCCCUUUUUUUUUGGGGGUGGGGUUAGUGGCGAACGGGUGAGUAACACGUGAGUAACCUGCCCCUCACUUCUGGAUAACCGCUUGAAAGGGUGGCUAAUACGGGGUGUUCUGGCCUGCUCGCAUGGGUGGGUUUGGAAAGAUUCGACCGGUUUUGGUUGUUUUGGUGGGGGAUGGGCUCGCGGCCUAUCAGCUUGUUGGUGGGGUGAUGGCCUGCCAAGGCUUUGACGGGUAGCCGGCCUGAGAGGGUGGGCGGUCACACUGGGACUGAGACACGGCCCAGACUCCUACGGGAGGCAGCAGUGGGGAAUAUUGCACAAUGGGCGCAAGCCUGAUGCAGCGACGCCGCGUGAGGGAUGGAGGCCUUCGGGUUGUGAACCUCUUUCGCCAGUGAGGAAGGUCCUGCUCUUUGUGGUGGGGUUGACGGUAGCUGGGUUAAUGAAGCGCCGGCUAACUACGUG